CUUACAAGGUGUCCUUGAGCGAAGAAAGUGUAGUCUUGGAAACAGAUUUUUACAUUUGAAUAUUCAAUCUACUCUGUUCUUAACAGUUAUGAUGUAUGCGUAUCACCUCAUUGGCAUGCCUAAAAUAACUUUAUGUACUUUCCUGCUGUGUACCACAUCAUAUACAAGCAUCUCCACUACGUUUCCAACUUGUUUUAGAGGUCGUCAAGAACUGUAAUAUACUAUAUAUAUAUAUAAAAAAGACACUUGUCCAGUUAAAGAAAAACUGUUAAGUCAUUAAGUUCAUCAUCCAUGACCGUGUACACCAUUGAGGUCCAUUUUCCAAGGUGUAAAUAAUACAAAAGAUAUUACAAAAUGACUAGAUGAACCAGUUUUCUCAUCUUACACGCCAUCACUUCUUGUUAUUUGUAGGCGGGUGAAGUCAACGAUCUCGCCAUUACUUCAAAAUCUUUGGUGAACACGUGGUUCUGUCUUCUGAAUCCACCGAGGCGUGACUGAGGUGAAGAACUGUAGAGUUUUACAAGCGGACUGGAAAGGCUUUUCGUACCCAGAGGGUUAGGGUUAGAAAAAAAAAGUACUUUGCGCAAAGUUUACACUUGUGUUUUUGAUCAUUGGUUUGAAUGGAAUGCAGCCACGCCGACAACUUCCUUGAUACGGUGUGAAUUAGUAAAUAUUAAAGAAGUUAGACUUGGCGGUCUUCAUUAGGAUCGCCAGGGCUGGGUAGUCUGUUCGUCCCGCCGCUGAAUGAAUGAAAUAAUCCCUGAAGGCUGUAGAUGUAGUACUGUUGUUGACGCAUAUUGACCAACCAGUCCAACGGGAGUCGCACUACAGCACCAUCUUAUGUCGCAAUCGCUUACGAUUUACAUAAUCCUACAUUUUCCAUUGUGAUGGACUUUUGAUCUAUUUAAUGUGUUAGCUGGAUGGGGUAAAAGUUUGGGAGCAGAUCUCUCAGACAUCUUGAGGAAAGCGCAAAGGAGGACGUCCUGACACCACCCUGGAUCGUCUGCAGCUUCCACCCGAUGAGAGCCUGUCAUCUUUUGAACUGUGCAUGGCACGUGAGACAGUGGCACAUACGGCAGGAAUGUCGGAAUCGCUGCCGGAGCGCGUGGGUGCCGAAGGCACAGCUAUGGUGACAGGGACAACGUUUUUCCAUUCGCAUAUGAAGCAGACUCACAAAAAAAAAAGACGUUCCUUUCUUUGGCGAGAUCGUCAGCCGGCGACUCAUCCUCCAAAGAAAGCUGACAAGAGGAUAUGUCAAAGAGAGACUUUGCCCCUCUGCGUUAAUCCAAAGGCAGCUCUCCUGUGGCCGACGUAGCACGAGAAGGCCAGAGCUGCUCCUCUGACCUGCACACAGCAGCUCCCUGAGCAACAAUAUCCCACGGCCGCCCCCUCGGGACCACAGACAGGUAAAAUGGUGCAAUCUUACUGUGAAUGCUGGAGCGCAGGCAAGCCAGAGAUGAAUGGGACAGUAGAAAUGCAUCUCUCACACACACACACACACACACACACACUCUUAACCACUCUCAAAAACACACAGGUGCGCGCACACACACAUGCUUAGUUGUAAAAGCUGUACUGAGAGGAUGUAGCGUUGAGUACAGACUAAUUGGAACAUUAAUUAUUGUUGCAGCGAAUUACGGCAUUGUCCCUGAUUCUAUGCCUGAAAUGGGUUUGUGUGUGUGUGUGUGUGUGCGUGCAUGUGUGUCCAUCCAAACCUCAAUCACUAAACAGAUAGUUCUCAGCGCUGUGAUCUGACUCUUGACUUUGACCUUUCAGACUGCUUUCAAUCAGGUCCUCACUGCCUGACAGACGCAGGCGCUUAUCAGGGUCUCUCUGCCUCUCACAUGCAACACACACACACACACACACACACACACACCCGAGGGUAGUGACAGGCCCUGUCUCCAGUUGACAGGGUUUUAUAUCAGCAAAGACAUCAAGCCGCCCACAACCACCCUCCCUUCGCACUGACCCCACGACCAUGCCAUGAUGAGAGAUAGGACAAUCUGCUGCAUGACAGCUCCACUCAAACAAUGACACUCAAACACACAUGCGCGCGCGUGUGUGCACGGAAAGCUGCGUGCGCACGCACACGUGAGCACGGACACG